UACGUAGGGUGCAAGCGUUGUCCGGAAUUAUUGGGCGUAAAGAGCUCGUAGGCGGUUUGUCGCGUCUGCUGUGAAAACUCGGGGCUUAACUCCGGGCCUGCAGUGGGUACGGGCAGACUAGAGUGCGGUAGGGGAGACUGGAAUUCCUGGUGUAGCGGUGAAAUGCGCAGAUAUCAGGAAGAACACCCGUGGCUAAGGCGGCUCUCUAGUACGGUACUGACGCUAGACGCGAAAGCGUGGGGAGCGAACAGG
rnacentral:rRNA from 1 species